rnacentral:tRNA from 1 species
CGGCGAUGUGGCAAUGGGUAUCAAAGAUUUGCAUGUGUUCUUUCCUUUUGACUUGCGAGCGUUUGGUUCGGGACCAAAAGGUCGCAGGUUCAAAUCCUGUCACCUUAU